GAUGAACGCUGGCGGCGUGCCUAAUACAUGCAAGUCGAGCGAACAGACGAGGAGCUUGCUCCUCUGACGUUAGCGGCGGACGGGUGAGUAACAUGUGGAUAACCUACCUAUAAGACUGGGAUAACUUCGGGAAACCGGAGCUAAUACCGGAUAAUAUAUUGAACCGCAUGGUUCAAUAGUGAAGGACGGUUUUGCUGUCACUUAUAGAUGGAUCCGCGCCGCAUUAGCUAGUUGGUAAGGUAACGGCUUACCAAGGCAACGAUGCGUAGCCGACCUGAGAGGGUGAUCGGCCACACUGGAACUGAGACACGGUCCAGACUCCUACGGGAGGCAGCAGUAGGGAAUCUUCCGCAAUGGGCGAAAGCCUGACGGAGCAACGCCGCGUGAGUGAUGAAGGUCUUCGGAUCGUAAAACUCUGUUAUUAGGGAAGAACAAAUGUGUAAGUAACUAUGCACGUCUUGACGGUACCUAAUCAGAAAGCCACGGCUAACUACGUG
rnacentral:rRNA from 1 species